rnacentral:rRNA from 1 species
AACGAACGCUGGCGGCAGGCCUAACACAUGCAAGUCGAGCGCCCAGCAAUGGGAGCGGCGGACGGGUGAGUAACACGUAGGAAUUUUCCUCAAGGUACGGAACAACUCAGGGAAACUUGGGCUAAUACCGUAUGAUGCAGAGAUGCCAAAGAUUUAUCGCCUUGGGAUAAGCCCGCGUCAGAUUAGGUAGUUGGUGAGGUAACGGCUCACCAAGCCUGUGAUCUGUAGCUGGUCUGAGAGGACGAUCAGCCACAUUGGGACUGAGACACGGCCCAAACUCCUACGGGAGGCAGCAGUGGGGAAUCUUGCGCAAUGGGCGAAAGCCUGACGCAGCCAUGCCGCGUGAAUGAUGAAGGUCUUAGGAUUGUAAAGUUCUUUCGCUCGUGACGAUGAUGACGGUAACGAGAGAAGAAGCCCCGGCUAACUUCGUGCCAGCCGCCGCAGUAACAC